rnacentral:rRNA from 1 species
UACAGAGGUCCCGAGCGUUGUUCGGAUUCAUUGGGCGUAAAGGGUGCGUAGGCGGCUCGGAAAGUCGGGCGUGAAAUGCCGGGGCUCAACCCCGGGACUGCGUCCGAUACUUCCGAGCUGGAGGUAGGUAGGGGAGAUCGGAAUUCCUGGUGUAGCGGUGAAAUGCGCAGAGUAUCAGGAGGAACACCGGUGGCGAAGGCGGAUCUCUGGGCCUUACCUGACGCUGAGGCGCGAAAGCUAGGGGAGCGAACAGG